UUCUCUCAUAGCACAUGGUACUCUUUAUUGCAAUGCUCAGAGGAAAACAUCUGUAAACCAGAUUACUGUAGCGGUGACAGCUGCAAAGAUGCCAAAGCACUUUUAUUAUACAAAAUAGGGGUGGAGGUGGGAAUUUCACUCUCUCCUUUGUAACAGCCACUGGGACCUGAAUUCAAAGCUUUUCAAGCAUAUGUAGCUUUUAUAUGGCUUCAUGAUUUGUUGAAAAUUUGUUUUGUUUUUCCAAAAAUGCCUUCUACACCAUAGGUAAGUCUAAAGGCAACAUAUACAAAACAGUUAGGAAUAUAGGUAAAUUCAGCAACUAGUAUAGACCAAUCGGAAGAGCAU